rnacentral:rRNA from 1 species
UUGACCUCGGAUCAGGCAGGGAUACCCGCUGAACUUAAGCAUAUCAAUAAGCGGAGGAAAAGAAACCAACAGGGAUUGCCUCAGUAACGGCGAGUGAAGCGGCAACAGCUCAAAUUUGAAAUCUGGCUCUUUUAGGGUCCGAGUUGUAAUUUGUAGAGGAUGCUUCGGCGUCGGCUCCGGUCUAAGUUCCUUGGAACAGGACGUCAUAGAGGGUGAGAAUCCCGUAUGUGAUCGGUUGCCCUUGCCAUGUGAAGCUCCUUCGACGAGUCGAGUUGUUUGGGAAUGCAGCUCUAAAUGGGAGGUAAAUUUCUUCUAAAGCUAAAUACUGGCCAGAGACCGAUAGCGCACAAGUAGAGUGAUCGAAAGAUGAAAAGCACUUUGGAAAGAGAGUCAAAAAGUACGUGAAAUUGUUGA